UACGAAGGGUGCAAACGUUGCUCGGAAUCAUUGGGCGUAAAGGGCGCGUAGGCGGCCAAUCAAGUCCGACGUGAAAUUCCCCGGCUCAACCGGGGGCCUGCGUCGGAUACUGCUUGGCUUGAGUCCCGGAGAGGGUAGUGGAAUUCCCAGUGUAGCGGUGAAAUGCGUAGAUACUGGGAGGAACACCGGUGGCGAAGGCGGCUACCUGGACGGGUACUGACGCUGAGGCGCGAAAGCUAGGGGAGCAAACAGG
rnacentral:rRNA from 1 species